rnacentral:misc_RNA from 1 species
GUGAAUCAUCGAAUCUUUGAACGCACAUUGCGCCCGCCAGUAUUCUGGCGGGCAUGCCUGUCUGAGCGUCAUUUCAACCCUCAUGCCCCUAGGGCGUGGUGUUGGGGAUCGGCCAAAGCCCGCGAGGGACGGCCGGCCCCUAAAUCUAGUGGCGGACCCGUCGUGGCCUCCUCUGCGAAGUAGUGAUAUUCCGCAUCGGAGAGCGACGAGCCCCUGCCGUUAAACCCCCAACUUUCCAAGGUUGACCUCAGAUCAGGUAGGAAUACCCGCUGAACUUAAGCAUAUCAAUAAGCGGAGGA